GGUGCAAGCAUUAAUCGGGAAUUACUGGGCGUAAAGCGUGCGCAGGCGGUUUUGUAAGACUGUCGUGAAAUCCCCGGGCUCAACCUGGGAAUGGCGAUGGUGACUGCAAGGCUAGAGUUUGGCAGAGGGGGGUAGAAUUCCACGUGUAGCAGUGAAAUGCGUAGAUAUGUGGAGGAACACCGAUGGCGAAGGCAGCCCCCUGGGUCAAAACUGACGCUCAUGCACGAAAGCGUGGGGAGCAAACAGGAUUAGAUACCCUGGUAGUCCACGCCCUAAACGAUGUCUACUAGUUGUCGGGUCUUAAUUGACUUGGUAACGCAGCUAACGCGUGAAGUUAGACCGCCUGGGGAGUACGGUCGCAAGAUUAAAACUCAAAGGAAUUGACGGGGACCCGCACAAGCGGUGGAUGAUUUGGAUUAAUUCGAUGCAACGCGAAAAACCUUACCUACCCUUUGACAUGGAUGGAAUCCUUUGANAGAUUGAAGAAUUCCCCGAAAAGGGAACCAUUACACAGUUCUGCCAUGCUGUCGUCACUCCUUUUCCNUGAGAUGUUUGGUUUAAUU
rnacentral:rRNA from 1 species